UGUCGAGUUGUAAAAAAUCGCAACUAGCAACACGGAUAAUGGCAUUGAACGCACUCAUUUAUGAACGUCACUUUGAGAGUGACAAUAAACAAUCAUUAUAAUUUCAAAUUUUUCAACGAAUACUGGCGUUCGGAGACCAUUUAUUGCAAGACUUCAAUUAACGAUUGAAUUGUAGAAGAGAAAAGCAAUAUUAUUGAUCUUACUCCUAAUAGGAACAUUCAAUAUGACAAUUUGAUUGUCAAACGAUAUUAUUUCGAUCAUAUGUGAACACUCCCACGUGAUAUGCAUAUCAUCUCGGUAUAUCAAGUGAUAUAAGCGCUAAUGUGAACAUGGUAUAAGGAUAAGAAUUCUAUGUAAAAGUGAUGCUACGGCGAAGAACAACUUAUGUAAAUUGCCUUAAGAAAUAAGCGUAUUUAUGGUAAAACAAUUCUAAGAAAUCGAUUCCAACCUUCAUCAGUGGCCACUUUUGUUUGACACCAAUAUAAAAAAAGAAAAAAUUAAAUUCACUGCUGUUUCAACUCGCUAUGUAUUUAGUGAAAUGUACAGAGCUGGCAAAAAGAAAACCGCGUUGUACGAGACCCAACAGUGCAAAACGAUUUGACCAUUUCAUGAAACACUAUCGAAUCAUCGAAUUAUAUACAGUCACUCGCUCUAGUUCUUGACUGCCGUAACCGAACUGCAUAUGUGCACUCAAAAAACUAAUCACAUUAGAUUUAUGUGAAAACAUACUUGAUAAUUUUCCAUCUAACUUUUCACAUAAUUUCCAUGGGGCAUCCUUGUUAAAUACAGUUAGGUGUACAUAGCUGAAAAUCAUAUUUUCGUCCAAUGAAUUCAACGUAACAUUCAAAUAAUUUCUAUCAAAAUUUCACGUAACUUUGAUAUGAAAAAAAAUUUAAACAAGGUUAUAAUGUUACAUAAUUUUUCUACAGGUUUAAAUGAAUUGCAUAUUCAUAGAACGAGGUGGACAAAAUAUAAAGAAUUCUUGUUAUCUUAGGUAUUCAUUGAUUUCAGUUUAAUGAACGUGCUUUAAACAACAAAUAUCAAUCAAUAAAUGCCAUUAUUACAAUUACUUGCUUAAAAUCGUUCGUCAUAGUCAUUUCUUUGUCUACCUAUUAACACAAAAAUUCUGUAUAUUUAAUGAUGUGUGUUGUUACCCCACACUGAGAAAAAUACUAUAGUAGCCGUAACCUGUUUGCCAUGGUCAUUUCAACUAUAUGCUUAAAUAGUAACAACGACCAUGAUAUGAGAUUAUUCACUAUCUGUAUUGUAUAAAGUACUAGAUAACAAAGACUAUAACUUAAGAAGAUUAUUUGUAUUUAUGACUUUUCUGGUAUGGUUAUUCUAACAAUGGUUGUCAUCUCAAAACUAAGAACAAAUGGAUAAAAUAACCAUCACAAGGAUGGUGAAAUCGCUCAUGAUAAAUUUGAGAAGCGAAGUAGUUAUUGCUACCAUAUCGGUAUGUUCUUCUUUACAAUGUACAAAUGUUACCAUGCGUACAUAUAUAGUUGGCUGAAAGAUUGUGAAGUUUGAAAACACUAUUCAUAUUGUUCAUAUGAACAGAAACCAUGUGAUAACUACAUGAUCGUAUAGUGUUUUUCAACCGACUAUGUAUUUUAGUUAAGCUGACUAUACAAAUUGUCAAUAAAAGCAUCUAUUUUUUUAUUGGGCAUUAGAAAGAUUCAGUAUGGCUGAAAAUUUCGUACGUGUAUAUAACAUAACUGGAGUGAUGGAUGCAAAGUUUUUGUAUUUUGUGAUUGUGCAUAUUUUUUCAUUUACAUUGGUCUUGAAGUCAAGUCGAAUGUAAACUUAGUGAAUUAUAGGUCACGGGGAACAACAUACGCUUUUUAAGACGGCAGAAGUAGCAAGAUAUCUCAGUGCGCUGCUCAUUCUUGUUUCGGGAAAUACUUCACCGGAUAGUGAUCCAGAUUCCUGGAUCAGCAACUGCAACCAAUAAUGCUUCUACGUCAAUCAUCAACCAUUCAACAGACAACAGCGUAAUGAGUGAUGCAGCAUUGAACUAAUGUCACCACAUGAGCUGAAGUGAUAGUUUCCAGUUCCAGACGGUUUAUGUCGACCAGCGGACGUGUAAACGCACCGUUUCAGACUACGACUCGAUGCACCUGCCAACGCAGCAUGAGGAUUCCUUCCUAAUGUGGACCCUGAGCCAAAUAUCGCCAUUCUAUCCAGCUUGCCAUUCUACGCCAGCUUGCUAUCUGAACUGGGAAAACGUUAGCAGCGGAAUCAGUAGCGGUGCGGUGGCGGUACGACGGUCCGUUCCGAUCCACACCUCAACAUAAUUACUACGAUGCUCGAUGUCACUCCGUUGCGUCCACGUAACACGUUACUCCAACAUGGGCAAUAUUAUAAUAUUUGAAUCGAAAAUAAAACAGAUCAUUAACAAAUUUCCUAUUUUUCUAGAACUUAGUAGGAAUUUAAAUUCAGUUAAUUUUUAAACAUUUGCGCAUAUUUUCUGACAUUCAAUAUUGUCGAAUCAACCAUUAUUUUGGGUUUCGAAAUAAACAGAAGUGAAAAUUCAAAAAUACUAUGGCUCUGGUUAUAACUAAAAGAAUAAUUGCAAUCGUGGUUACGCUAACCAUCAUAUUCGUAAUAGUUAUUUAGACAAUAUACUGUUCAAUAUUACUGCUCAAGAGGAAAAGCCUUAUAUAGUAAAAAUGAACUUCACCAUUGUUGAAAUCACCUGAUGAAAUAGUCGGUUGAAAACCACUAUACUCGCAUGGUCAAAAUGAUCCCUGAUAUAGUAACUAGUACCAUAACAUUUUUCUGAGUGCAGUGUAAAAUUUAUAGUCUGGACUGUUGACAAGUCUUUAUUUACAUAUAUUAUAGAAAAUCAUUCUUAAGCCUAAACAUUAGUUUUCUUUCUGUGAUUUUAAUUGUAACAAUAUUAAGCAUGAACGGAGUUUGAGUGAAAAAAUUAAUAUUUAAAAUGUCAAUAAUAUCGGUACUACCGCUUGUUUCGUAUGCUAAAUAAUGUUGGUUAAAGGAAUCGACAUUCCAGUUUUGUACGAUUAAGUAUAAUGUAUUCCUUAUGAAUAAUAUUUCAAGAAUCUCAUAUAAAAGCACCGUAUUGUUACAGAUCUUUGCAACAAAUUGUCCUGUUCUAUAAUAAAUACCUCUGUGAAUAAUUGAGCUAGAUAGCAUGAAAUUAUAAUCUGAAUCAAUAUUAAGAGGUUGAAUAAUUUUAUUAAAAUAAUGCCGAAAUCUUAUAUCGAACAACUUGAAAGUUUAUGCUGUUUGAAAAUGUAUUGAUUUAUAACAUCAUUCGAAAACUGCAAAUAAGAUUUUAUACACAAAGUGUAGCAAAAAUUUUUCCUCGAAGUAAUUG